rnacentral:rRNA from 1 species
AUUGAACGCUGGCGGCAGGCCUAACACAUGCAAGUCGAACGAGUGGCGGACGGGUGAGUAAUUUCUGGGAAACUGCCCGAUAGAGGGGGAUAACUACUGGAAACGGUAGCUAAUACCGCAAACCAUCGGAUGUGCCCAGAUGGGAUUAGCGAGUAGGUGGGGUAUCGGCUCACAUAGGCGACGAUCCCUAGCUGGUCUGAGAGGAUGACCAGCCACACUGGAACGGAGACACGGUCCAGACUCGUACGGGAGGCAGCAGUGGGGAAUAUUGCACAAUGGGCGCAAGCCUGAUGCAGCCAUGCCGCGUGUAUGAAGAAGGCCUUCGGGUUGUAAAGUACUUUCAGCGAGGAGGCGUUACUCGCAGAAGAAGCACCGGCUAACUCCGUGCCAGCAGCCGCGGUAAUAC